rnacentral:lncRNA from 1 species
AAACUUCCGAACUACACAAGCUUCUAAACUUAGUUAAAAAUCCGGUACCCCAGGUCUUCAUGUGGUAACCCGGAAUUCUAGAAAAUUCGGAACUCGUAAAACCCGAAAGCUCUUGAAACCUCGGAUCAGAUCAUCUGAGCAGUAUUUAGAGUACAAAGGAAUUCGAAACAAGCAAGGAAAUAAAGGAAACUCUGCGGACAACAAAUGUUCUUGGACCAAGCGAAGCGAAUCUCAGAGUUUAAAAAGAAUCUUGAAAAUUGAGGCCAAAAUUCGGACUAUAGUUGUAAAAUUCGGAUUUUUUUUUUUUUUUU